AACGCGUGGGAAUCUGCCCUUGGGUACGGAAUAACUCAGAGAAAUUUGUGCUAAUACCGUAUAAUGUCUUCGGACCAAAGAUUUAUCGCCCAAGGAUGAGCCCGCGUAAGAUUAGCUAGUUGGUGGGGUAAAAGCCUACCAAGGCGACGAUCUUUAGCUGGUCUGAGAGGAUGAUCAGCCACACUGGGACUGAGACACGGCCCAGACUCCUACGGGAGGCAGCAGUGGGGAAUAUUGGACAAUGGGCGAAAGCCUGAUCCAGCAAUGCCGCGUGAGUGAUGAAGGCCUUAGGGUUGUAAAGCUCUUUUACCCGGGAUGAUAAUGACAGUACCGGGAGAAUAAGCUCCGGCUAACUCCGUGCCAGCAGCCGCGGUAAUACGGAGGGAGCUAGCGUUGUUCGGAAUUACUGGGCGUAAAGCGCGCGUAGGCGGUUUUUUAAGUCAGAGGUGAAAGCCCAGUGCUCAACACUGGAACUGCCUUUGAAACUGGAAAACUUGAAUCUUGGAGAGGUCAGUGGAAUUCCGAGUGUAGAGGUGAAAUUCGUAGAUAUUCGGAAG
rnacentral:rRNA from 1 species